rnacentral:rRNA from 1 species
GAUGAACGCUGGCGGCGUGCCUAAUACAUGCAAGUCGAGCGAACAGACGAGGAGCUUGCUCCUCUGACGUUAGCGGCGGAUGGGUGAGUAACACGUGGAUAACCUACCUAUAAGACUGGGAUAACUUCGGGAAACCGGAGCUAAUACCGGAUAAUAUAUUGAACCGCAUGGUUCAAUAGUGAAAGACGGUUUUGCUGUCACUUAUAGAUGGAUCCGCGCCGCAUUAGCUAGUUGGUAAGGUAACGGCUUACCAAGGCAACGAUGCGUAGCCGACCUGAGAGGGUGAUCGGCCACACUGGAACUGAGACACGGUCCAGACUCCUACGGGAGGCUGCAGUAGGGAAUCUUCCGCAAUGGGCGAAAGCCUGACGGAGCAACGCCGCGUGAGUGAUGAAGGUCUUCGGAUCGUAAAACUCUGUUAUUAGGGAAGAACAAAUGUGUAAGUAACUAUGCACGUCUUGACGGUACCUAAUCAGAAAGCCACGGCUAACUACGUG